rnacentral:hammerhead_ribozyme from 1 species
AUCCAGAGGACGAGUCCCAAAUAGGACGAAACAAACGUCAAACUGGAU